rnacentral:lncRNA from 14 species
UAACAAAGGAAAGAAUAUUAAGUCUACUUCUAAGGAAACAGAAGCUGCAGAGUGGCUAAGAUGUCUUUUGUUUAUUGUUCCCGAACAAGACCACAAGUCUGUAUCGAAUCACAACCAUUGACUCCAUUACUACUUACCAGGAGAGCCAUAGUUGCCACCUCAGCCUAUGGGUUAAACAGGUCCCUUACUGGUGAGAAAUGAUGAGGAAAUCAGGACACCUGUGUGGGAGCACAUGGCACACAGUGCAGGCACACUGAGAUGCCUGAGGGAGUUAGAAACAGGGGAGCUCUGACACCACCACAGAAAGACU